GCAUUAAUGGGGUAGUGGUAACCUGGGUCGUUGCCAUCGUCAGGUAAUCUUUGCAUAUGAUCUCGACCCGCCGGGGGUUCGAUUCCCUCUUAAUGCA